UUAUAACACAAUAUUUUCCUGUCCGUUUCACUCUGACGAAAACAAAUUAAAUUAAUUGAUCACAAUCAAACAGCCCACCUUUAUGUUCAUUUUUAAAAACAAAUGCUUGUCCAUUCAUAAAAUGAUACAGUUUUUUAAGUAAUAGUUUUGGGGUUAAACAACGAGUAACUAGGGUGAGAUUUGAGCGACGCUCUACUAAAACAGUGAAAUUGCUUAAAACCUUUAAUGAAAAUAGGAGCUUACAAAAUUCAACAAGUUAUGGUUCAAAAUGGCGGGAACUCUACCACCAUAAAACUAUAUUAGUUGAACCUAAACUGUUACCACAGACAGGGAAUGGGACUAACGACUGCACGGGCAAUGUUCAAGAAUCGUCAGACGACUUCACCCAGUCUCAGCCAGAGUCAUUGCUGUUACCAUAGCCAUAGCCGUAGUAUGACAAACUAAUGAACUAUAAUAUACUCCGUGGAAAAAAAUCUCUGUUUUUUUAUUUAAUAGUAGUAAUAAUGUAAUAAUUUGGGUUAAUUAUUGGUCAAGGCAGUUCAAAUCCUAUAUUUUAGCAGCGAGUACCGCAAACUGGCAUCGGUGACACCGAUGCCGAUUUAACAUCAAAUAAUUAGGUUGACAAAUAUGACAUGGUUUGUGUGGCACACUUUUCUGUGAAACAUUUAAAGGCAUUCAAAAGAAAAGUAUAAUUUUGUUGUUUGGAACCGUUAGAUUAUUUGAAACCUCUUCAAAUGUAGAUGUCUACAAUAAAACUUACAUGUGAAAAUUUCGUUCCAUUAUCUGGUCGUGUUUUGAGAUAUAGCCGAAAAUACGGAGCGAAUAAUUAUGACCACACAUGAAGAAUGAUUCCUAAUUGGAAUACAUCAUUUGAGAAGAGUACUGACAGUAACGCUUCUCAGCUUCUCAGCUGGUGUAGGCUUUAAACCAAACGUUUAUAUGGCCAUUAAUUUUAAAAGUGAUUACCUAAGGUAAAACCCCGAAGGUUAAAACAUUAUCAAAUUGUUUUGAAAUUAAGCAAGAACGAGUGUGCCUAAAAUUUCUGUUCGAUGAUAACGAUGUUGCCACUUGUCUAUGGUCCUCAGAAAGUGAAAACCACAACUUUGGUGUCAUGUUUCAAGAGGUCAAGAUAAACAUAAUGUGCCCUUGCCUUUUACAAACCCUCGUAAUUUAACAAAAAUAUACGAAUGCCGAAAAAAGACGAUACUGGUAAAGUACGUUUUACAUUACAAACAUAUUUGUCACUGGCCUUUGACGUUAACGUUUAAUACUUGCCUGAAAAUGACAACUUCUUUAUGUCACACAAGCUUCCCUUGUACAUGUCAACCUAAUCUCUUUAAAAGUUAUCACAAAAUAUUGCAAUAAGACUUACUUCUUGAUUUAUUAUUAAAGCUCACCUGUUCCAGCAGGCUAACUAAAUAUGCAUAUUUGGCCCAAAGCCUUAGAGCAAACCUUUGACUAUGAUGCUUUUUAAGUGAUUGUUGAUCGCAUCAAAAUUAAGCUGUGAUUCUCACCUUAUUUUCGACCAUAAAUAAAAACAUUUUUCAUUGGAAAGGUACUUAGAGGAACUCAAUAAAAAAACACAUUCUGACGAAUUUACGUGUCUGAUCUUUUUUUUCCCUUUCGCCUCUGUGAGUGUGUUGUGGCAAUACGGUGAACGAACUUACUAUUCCCGAUUAUUCCUGAAAAAAAUGAAUAUUUCUUAAUAUUCAUGAGCUAACCAGGUACCAUCCAACCAACAAAUAGCACUUAUAGGUGACGCGCUGGUAUCUUGAUCAUCAGUAUACCGUUUUCUAAAUAAGUCAGAGUUUGGUCGAAAAGAUAAGGCAGUCACGUGAAAUGCAUACCAUUGUGUUAUAUGUACUUGUGUUAAUUAGCUCCUAUCAACAAUUGUGGACAGAAUAUGAUGAGGCACCAGUCGCAACAGUUUAUCGAGUUGUUAUAAUUCUACCCAAAACACACUAUUUAGAAUUUGUAACCAUUCUUGGAAAUUAAGGAGCUCACACCAAGGUUACCUAACCAUGUCAGACGAUACUAAGAUAACCCAGGUCGACACUAUUGAUUCGGAAACUACGAACUCGGAUAUCGAUGAUCCCGUACGAUCCAAAAGACGAUGGCGUCCGAAAUCUUCGUCAUUCGGUGGUUUGGUCAUCCUGGCAACCCUCGUCAUCGGAAGCAUAUUUGUCUCACUGGCUGAUGUGAAAAUUUAAAUUUACUCCGACGUGAUCAUCCAGCAAUGAUCCGUAUCGAUAAAGACAUGUUGAAAGAAAAAUAUGUUUGUUUACAUAUUUUAGUAAGGAUUAUGUUCUUUACAGUUGUCAUAAAUCCGAUUGCAUCUUACAAAUUACAUUCUGUAUUACACUAAUGCAAGUCAAAUACAAACCUCAAUUGUGUCAUAUUAUCUUAUCCUGCAUUAACUAUUGAGUUUGAUCGUUUAACUUUGAAUCAUGCAAACAAAUAUUUAGUGAUGACCUGAAGUUUAGACCCUAGCAAAAGUCAGGCCACUUACUACUUGUUUACAUUUAAAAGCAUUAUGUUCCGAAACUGUUUAAGAAAACCUUUUAAAAUACAUUCCAGUGAAAUUAUAAGUUCCUAACAUCAAAGAUACCAGAGGUAAAUCAAACGGAUUAAAUAAAGAGUUUGUUUUGAGCAAAGACAGUUCUUUGUUUAUACUUUUCUCCGAAUGCUUCAAUCUAGCUUCUGUUUAAUGUUUUGAAUAUUAAAACAUGAAUAUAUUUUAUUAUUAGGUAGUUGCUUUCCCACACCAUAUUUUUUUUUCUUUUACUGACAAACAUAGUACUUACAAAUAUACACACUUGGGUAAAAAUCUACAUUCAUCAUUACAUUAUAAUCUGUAUGGGUAUACAUAUUAACAUACGCAAGUGGAGUAAUCUAAGUUGAAGAGACGCAUAGGUGCACAACCCAUUGGGACAAGGAGGCAAGGCAAUUACCAAUUGUUCUAUAGAAUGUUCAUGUAAAACAUUACCAAAUAAUCUUACUUGUGAUUAAGGAACAUUAUUAAGCUUUCCUAAAACAGCAAUUGAAAUGGUGAUUCAUGGUGAUGUAAUGUUGCUACUGCACCUGUGAUUACAUCUUUAUAGCUGCUAUUCUAUGUUUAUCUAAUUAUAGCUAAUGUAUAUUUUAGAUAGCUUCAAUUAUGUUGUUUAAAAAUGUCUGGAGUGAAAUUGCCAUCAGUAAAUUUCAGUUUUCCUUUCGCAACAUUUUUGUUUUGUCAUGAGCAUUAGAUAUAAUGCAUUCCGGGGUUACGGUACGGCGCUUAAAAACAGCGGCCGUCUGUCAGUGUGUGUACCGUGAGAAGGCGCUCCGACCCCCGAUACCGUGCUCCCUCUGCACGGUGUUUGUUUGCAGGUCUGGCUGCGUUUCAAAUUCACGGUUUGUUUCACUAUAAAACAGACUACCUGAACUGUCGAUUAUUUUUCUGGUGAAAUAUUGUGCCAUUGACGAUUCAAGUUGUGUAAUUUUAGGGAAUAAAUUCCAUUCUAGUUUAGACCUAUAUCACACAAAAAAGACGUUUUUCUCAGAACAAACGAUUAUUACACCAACAAAUACAUGUGUAUUUAUUGUUGUUAAUGGGAGAAAUGAUUCCUUUUAAUCGUCAAACAAAAUGUAUUCCAAAUGGGGGAAAAAAAUUAGCACUUUCAUCACAGUUAUGAGCUGAGAUUCUGUAUUAAUACACGCUAGACUUUCUAGUAUGCAAACUACGGGUUGGCUUCAAAAUGGCAGCGAUCGUUCCGACUUCUAUGCCGUGUAAACGCAGUUUCAGACCCGAUGCAGAAUGUGCCCGUCACGCUACAUUGUUGACAGUUUAAAUUCCUACGUGAUGUCCUUGUAAUGUACUUGUUCGUACUUUAUAGUUAGCGGAUGCAUGGUGAUAUUGUAUGCAGUUUGCGUUUGAAUAUCCCAAUAAUUAACAAUAUUUAAGUAACCAUUGCUGAAGAAUGUCUUAUGGCAAAAUUUCACUGGUCGGAGCAGAAAAUACUGCUCAGCAAGUUUCUUUGCGUUACUAAAACUGAAAGGGCACCAGUUGAAACAAUGCAAACUUUAAGUAAUUUUAACUGGUAACCUGUCUCUGUGAUAAGUUGUUUUGCUUACAGGCUCUUUGAAAUUACAUUAGCAUUACGUUACAAAGUACUAAAAACAUUACCUGUGUAAAUGUUCAUCAAGUAACAUUACUUCUUCAACCUUGGUAGAUUUUCUUUUAAUGGAACCCGACAUUGAAUGCGGGGUAAUGAAGCAAAUUAAAAUAGUUCUAUGUAUGUUAAAUUGCA